GAUGAACGCUAGCGACAGGCCUAACACAUGCAAGUCGAGGGGCAGCACAUGAGUAGCAAUACGAUGGUGGCGACCGGCGCACGGGUGAGUAACACGUAUGCAACCUACCUUCUACCAGGGGAUAACCCGUUGAAAGACGGACUAAUACCCUAUAAUACAGGGGCUCCGCAUGGAGAUAUUUGUUAAAGAUUCAUCAGUAGAAGAUGGGCAUGCGCAUGAUUAGCUAGUUGGCGGGGUAACGGCCCACCAAGGCAUCGAUCAUUAGGGGUUCUGAGAGGAAGGUCCCCCAACUGGUACUGAGACACGGACCAGACUCCUACGGGAGCAGCAGUGAGGAAUAUUGGUCAAUGGGCGAGAGCCUGAACCAGCCAAGUCGCGUGAAGGAAGACUGUCCUAUGGAUUGUAAACUUCUUUUGUACGGGAAUAAAGUGGGCUACGUGUAGCCUUUUGUAUGUACCGUUACGAAUAAGGAUCGGCUAACUCCGUGCCAGCAGCCG
rnacentral:rRNA from 1 species